AUUGAACGCUGGCGGCAGGCCUAACACAUGCAAGUCGAACGAGUGGCGGACGGGUGAGUAAUGUCUGGGAAACUGCCCGAUGGAGGGGGAUAACUACUGGAAACGGUAGCUAAUACCGCAUACCAUCGGAGGUGCCCAGAUGGGCUUAGCUAGUGGGUGGGGUAACGGCUCACCAAGGCGACGAUCCCUAGCUGGUCUGAGAGGAUGACCAGCCACACUGGAACUGAGACACGGCCCAGACUCCUACGGGAGGCAGCAGUGGGGAAUAUUGCACAAUGGGCGAAAGCCUGAUGCAGCCAUGCCGCGUGUAUGAAGAAGGCCUUCGGGUUGUAAAGUACUUUCAGCAGGGAAGCGUUACUCGCAGAAGAAGCACCGGCUAACUCCGUGCCAGCCGCCGCGGUAAUUC
rnacentral:rRNA from 1 species